rnacentral:ncRNA from 1 species
CGAAAUGCGUUGAACGGGAAGAGUACAAUAGUUAGGCUUUUCAGAGAGAGAACGGUGGUGCGAGUUCUUAAGUGAAACUGUUGGAAGGUCGCCCGGGAGCAGCUUUUGUGAACCCGAAGAGUAGCAAAAGCCGGGAAAUCCGUUACUUAGUUGAGUGCCAAAUGCAUGCUUCUUAUGCAUUUGUGAAUAAAGGUGGUACCGCGAAUCAACUCCAUUCGUCCUUUAA